rnacentral:tRNA from 1 species
UCUCUGGUGGUCCAGAGGCUCAGCCUCUGCACUCCCAAUGCAGAGGGCCUGGGUUCGAUCCCUGGUCAGAGAA